UAGGGAAUCUUCCGCAAUGGACGAAAGUCUGACGGAGCAACGCCGCGUGAGCGAAGAAGGUCUUCGGAUCGUAAAGCUCUGUUGUUAGGGAAGAACAAGUAUCGGAGGAAAUGCCGGUACCUUGACGGUACCUGACGAGAAAGCCACGGCUAACUACGUG
rnacentral:rRNA from 3 species